rnacentral:sRNA from 1 species
GGAUAAGUUUGCUGUUUUAAAGGAAGAAUUCAGAGGCCAAACAACACGGAGCCGAAGCAGUGACAAUAAUUUGAACAUGUCUCAAGUUGAUCAUUAGCAUAUUUCAUAGGCAGGCACGCCUAAACAGGACACAAUUUUCCCCAAUGCUUUUCCUUUUUCCUUUGCCUGCUGUCAAGCCGGUGGAAAUCUCCCUGCCAGCUGCUUUUGCUGCACAUCGACAUCUUUGACGCGCCAAAAAUGCACUCAGCCGUGUGACCCAUUUCCCCAACUUUUUCUCCCCCCGACCCCAUGAUUUUUCGAUGCCUGGGAAAAUGCUGCUGCAACUGCCUUGCAUUUUAUACUUGCUAGUUUUGAUAUUUCCCGGGGAUGCAUUUCACUUCUUACUACCUAGAGUAACAAAAUCUGCUCCGUAGUUACCAUAAAAUGAUUUGAUGAACGAGUUCUAUGCACAAUUCGGAAUUGCCCAAGGUUUUUUUGUGCUUCCUGCCAAAGUUGGCCAAGUCAUAAGUUUAGAAAUUUCAUUUUUCCAGGUUUAAAGGUAGCUUAAAGUUCGUGUGCACCAAAAAAAAAAAAAAAAACUUGAAAAGAAUGUUGCCAUAAGUACACAAGAUUACUUUUAAGAAGUUUGUCAAAGUUCAAAGACCAGCUGGUAGACCAAGUCAAAGGCGGGAAGUAUUGGCUUAAAUCUGAGCAACCGCAAAAGGAUAGACAAGGAAUCCUGCUAAGGAUAGCAUCUCUGAAAAAAUGUCAUCACCUUGUAAUGAUUUUGUGAGCGACAAUCAUUGCGGUGUAUUUGCGGGAACUUAUAAAAAUUCUUCGUAAAAGUCACGGAAAAUCCCUUCUUUUCCUGAUAUGCGUAUAACGGAAAAGUUUAAGGAAUUUGCCCUGUGUGCGCUGAACACAAGUUUUCCAAACAAAAAUAAAAGAACUUUCGGUAGGAAAUUCGUCUUCUUGUUGACGUGAAAGUAAUUUUCUGCACAUGACAAGUUAUGCUAAGUACGAGAAGAGUUCAGGUAAAAUGCUAAAGGAUCCCAAGUCAGUUAAAUUAACUAAAUAAUUGAAGUACAAAAAUUGCCGGACAGCAGACAGGAAAAAGUUUUUACAUGUCGAAAAGCUGAAAAUAAUUCGCACACAUACACGGCGAAAAAUGAAGCGUGUUCGGGAUAGAAGUAAAGAAAUCUGAAAAGUUACCGAUGUGCAACGUUGUAAAUUGAAAUAGUUUUCUGCAAUAGUGGACAAGUCGUAGCCAUCUU